rnacentral:rRNA from 1 species
UGGGGAAUCUUCCGCAAUGGACGAAAGUCUGACGGAGCAACGCCGCGUGAGUGAAGAAGGUUUUCGGAUCGUAAAACUCUGUCUUUUGGGGCGAACGUGAGUAUGGUGAACAAUCAUAGUCAGUGACGGUACCAAAGGAGGAAGCCACGGCUAACUACGUGCCAGCAGCCGCGGUAAUACGUAGGUGGCAAGCGUUGUCCGGAAUUAUUGGGCGUAAAGAGCGCGUAGGCGGGAUAGUCAGUCUGUUGUAAAGUGCGGGGCUCAACCCCGUGAUCGCAAUGGAAACAGCUAUUCUUGAGUGCAGGAGAGGAAAGUGGAAUUCCCAGUGUAGCGGUGAAAUGCGUAGAUAUUGGGAGGAACACCAGUGGCGAAGGCGACUUUCUGGACUGUGUCUGACGCUGAGGCGCGAAAGCCAGGGGAGCGAACGGGAUUAGAUACCCCGGUAGUCCUGGCCGUAAACGAUGGGUACUAGGUGUGGGGGAUGAUCGUNCCACCUUCCGUGCCGGAGUUAACGCAAUAAGUACCCCGCCUGGGGAGUACGGUCGCAAGACUGAAACUCAAAU